rnacentral:rRNA from 1 species
GUUUAUUUGAUAGUACCUUACUACUUGGAUAACCGUGGUAAUUCUAGAGCUAAUACAUGCUAAAAACCCCGACUUCGGGAGGGGUGUAUUUAUUAGAUAAAAAACCAAUGCCCUUCGGGGCUCCUUGGUGAUUCAUAAUAACUUCUCAGAUCGCAUGGCCUUGCGCCGGCGACGGUUCAUUCAAAUUUCUGCCCUAUCAACUUUCGAUGGUAAGGUAUUGGCUUACCAUGGUUUCAACGGGUAACGGGGAAUUAGGGUUCGAUUCCGGAGAGGGAGCCUGAGAAACGGCUACCACAUCCAAGGAAGGCAGCAGGCGCGCAAAUUACCCAAUCCCGACACGGGGAGGUAGUGACAAUAAAUACUGAUACAGGGCUCUUUAGGGUCUUGUAAUUGGAAUGAGUACAAUUUAAACCUCUUAACGAGGAACAAUUGGAGGGCAAGUCUGGUGCCAGCAGCCGCGGUAAUUCCAGCUCCAAUAGCGUAUAUUAAAGUUGUUGCAGUUAAAAAGCUCGUAGUUGAACCUUUGGCCUGGCUGGCGGGUCCGCCUCACCGCGUGCACUCGUCCGGCCGGGCCUUUUCUUCUGGAGAACCGCAUGCCCUUCACUGGGUGUGUUGGGGACCAGGACUUUUACUUUGAAAAAAUUAGAGUGUUCAAAGCAGGCCUUUGCUCGAAUACGUUAGCAUGGAAUAAUAGAAUAGGACGUGCGGUCCUAUUUUGUUGGUUUCUAGGACCGCCGUAAUGAUUAAUAGGGACAGUCGGGGGCAUCAGUAUUCAAUUGUCAGAGGUGAAAUUCUUGGAUUUAUUGAAGACUAACUACUGCGAAAGCAUUUGCCAAGGAUGUUUUCAUUAAUCAGUGAACGAAAGUUAGGGGAUCGAAGACGAUCAGAUACCGUCGUAGUCUUAACCAUAAACUAUGCCGACUAGGGAUCGGGCGGUGUUAUUAUUUUGACUCGCUCGGCACCUUACGAGAAAUCAAAGUGU